AAUGCCGUACUAUUAUUUUCCUUCACUUUUGUCCGUAUCAGCUGCUAUGAAACUGUUUCUAUAGAAAUGACUCGAAACGAAGACGAUGCGUCGGCGAAUGUGUCCACCCGUCUGUUCUCCUAUACGCCAUUUUUAAAAUUCCAGAUUAUGAUGUCAGUUUUUUUAUCUAUAUUAUUCGAUACAAAUGUAAGUAUAUUAUUUUGAAACAAAGUUGGAGUAGGGAAU